rnacentral:rRNA from 1 species
UAAUGUCUGGGAAACUGCCUGAUGGAGGGGGGUAACUACUGGAAACGGUAGCUAAUACCGCAUAACGUCGCAAGACCAAAGUGGGGGACCUUCGGGCCUCAUGCCAUCAGAUGUGCCCAGAUGAGAUUAGCUAGUAGGUGGGGUAACGGCUCACCUAGGCGACGAUCCCUAGCUGGUCUGAGAGGAUGACCAGCCACACUGGAACUGAGACACGGUCCAG